UACGGAGGAGGCAAGCGUUAUCCGGAAUUAUUGGGCGUAAAGCGUCCGCAGGUGGCGAUUCAAGUCUGCGGUUAAAGACUGGGGCUUAACCCUGGAAAGGCCGUGGAAACUGAAACGCUAGAGUGCAGUAGGGGUAGAGGGAAUUCCCGGUGUAGCGGUGAAAUGCGUAGAGCUCGGGAAGAACAUCGGUGGCGAAAGCGCUCUGCUGGACUGCAACUGACACUCAGGGACGAAAGCUAGGGGAGCGAGUGGG
rnacentral:rRNA from 1 species